UACGGGGGGGGCAAGCGUUGUUCGGAAUUACUGGGCGUAAAGGGCUCGUAGGUGGCCAACUAAGUCAUACGUGAAAUCCCUCAGCUUAACUGGGGAACUGCGUCUGAUACUGGAUGGCUUGAGUUUGGGAGAGGGAUGCGGAAUUCCAGGUGUAGCGGUGAAAUGCGUAGAUAUGUGGAGGAACACCGAUGGCGAAGGCAGCCCCCUGGGCCUGCACUGACGCUCAUGCACGAAAGCGUGGGGAGCAAACAGG
rnacentral:rRNA from 1 species